GUGGGGAAUAUUGGACAAUGGGCGCAAGCCUGAUCCAGCAAUACCGCGUGUGUGAAGAAGGCCUGAGGGUUGUAAAGCACUUUUAAUAGGGAGGAACAUCUGCCGGCCAAUACCCGGUAGUCUGACAUUACCUAUAGAAAAAGCACCGGCUAACUCCGUGCCAGCAGCCGCGGUAAUACGGAGGGUGCAAGCGUUAAUCGGAAUUACUGGGCGUAAAGCGUGCGUAGGCGGUUAAUUAAGUCAGAUGUGAAAGCCCCGGGCUUAACCUGGGAACUGCAUUUGAUACUGGUUAACUAGAGUUUAGUAGAGGAGAGUGGAAUUUCAGGUGUAGCGGUGAAAUGCGUAGAUAUCUGAAGGAACACCAGUGGCGAAGGCGACUCUCUGGACUAAAACUGACGCUGAGGUACGAAAGCGUGGGUAGCAAACAGGAUUAGAAACCCUGGUAGUCC
rnacentral:rRNA from 1 species